rnacentral:sRNA from 1 species
ACAAUAGAAGGUUUUUCUCAAGGGUGUCGGCACACUCCUAGUAAAGGGGGUGAGGCCGAUUGACGAUUUUUGAAUCAUUGAUGUUUUCGAUUGCGUUUGCAAGUCUAAUCGUAGCGAUCCUAUCAUUUGACUCAAAAAAAUAAUCCACCCUUGAGUUAGUGGCUCAGGUGGAUUCUUCUACCAAUUUGGCCGACUCCUUUAAAAAAGGAACCGUCUAUUGCAUGACCGUUCGGUGUUCCAGCACCAGCG